UACGUAGGGAGCAAGCGUUGUCCGGAAUCAUUGGGCGUAAAGCGCGCGUAGGCGGCCUCAUAAGUCCGUUGUGAAAGUCAAAGGCUCAACCUUUGAAAGCCGAUGGAUACUGUGAGGCUAGAGUCCGGAAGAGGCGAGUGGAAUUCCUGGUGUAGCGGUGGAAUGCGCAGAUAUCGGGAGGAACACCAGUGGCGAAGGCGACUACCUGGCCUGUUCUUGACGCUGAGGCGCGAAAGCUAGGGGAGCAAACGGG
rnacentral:rRNA from 1 species